rnacentral:rRNA from 1 species
UGGGGAAUAUUGCACAAUGGGGGGAACCCUGAUGCAGCCAUGCCGCGUGUGUGAAGAAGGCCUUCGGGUUGUAAAGCACUUUCAGGUGUGAGGAAAGCAUAUUUGCUAAUACCAAAUAUGUGUGACGUUAACACCAGAAGAAGCACCGGCUAACUCCGUGCCAGCAGCCGCGGUAAUACGGAGGGUGCGAGCGUUAAUCGGAAUUACUGGGCGUAAAGCGCACGCAGGCGGUUGUAUAAGCUAGAAGUGAAAGCCCCGCGCUUAACGUGGGAAGGCCUUUUAGAACUGUACGACUGGAGUCUUGGAGAGGGGAGUGGAAUUCCACGUGUAGCGGUGAAAUGCGUAGAUAUGUGGAGGAACAUCAGUGGCGAAGGCGACUCCCUGGCCAAAGACUGACGCUCAUGUGCGAAAGUGUGGGUAGCGAACAGGAUUAGAUACCCCUGUAGUCC